rnacentral:rRNA from 1 species
CUCAACCGUGGAAUUGCAGGGCAUACUGCAGAUCUUGAGGCCGGUAGGGGCUGCCAGAACUCUAGGUGUAGCGGUGAAAUGCGUAGAUAUCUAGAGGAAUGCCGAUGGUGAAGACGGGCAGCUGGGCCGGUUCUGACGCUCAGGUACGAAAGCGUGGGGAGCAAACAGGAUUAGAUACCCUGGUAGUCCACGCCGUAAACGAUGUGCACUAGGUCCCGGAGGCUCUGACGCCAUCGGGGCCGAAGUAAAAACGAUAAGUGCACCGCCUGGGGAGUACGGUCGCAAGGCUAAAACUCAAAGGAAUUGACGGGGGCUCACACAAGCGGUGGAGCAUGUGGCUUAAUUCGAAGCAACGCGAAGAACCUUAUCCUGGGUUUGACAUGUAUGGAUUAACUCUGGGAAACCAGAGCCACGCCCUUUGGGUGGAACA